GGAAUCUUGGACAAUGGGCGAAAGCCUGAUCCAGCCAUGCCGCGUGAAUGAUGAAGGCCUUAGGGUUGUAAAAUUCUUUCAGCGGGGAAGAUAAUGACGGUACCCGCAGAAGAAGCCCCGGCUAACUCCGUGCCAGCAGCCGCGGUAAUACAGAGGGGGCUAGCGUUGUUCGGAAUUACUGGGCGUAAAGCGGGUGUAGGCGGAUCUUUAAGUCGGGGGUGAAAGCCCUGGGCUCAACCCAGGAAUGGCCUUCGAUACUGGAGAUCUCGAGUGCAGGAGAGGUGAGCGGAAUUCCGAGUGUAGAGGUGAAAUUCGUAGAUAUUCGGAGGAACACCAGAGGCGAAGGCGGCUCACUGGACUGUUACUGACGCUGAGACCCGAAAGCGUGGGGAGCAAAC
rnacentral:rRNA from 1 species